ensembl:snoRNA Gm22660 predicted gene, 22660
CCUGCCCCAGAGGUGUUGCAGGUAUGGUUGCUGUGUCCCAUGUGCGUCAGUAGGUGGCAGAGAGGAGAGAGGCUAUGUCUAUGCUCAGAGUUCUGACCGAUGACUUAUGAAUGAUUGGCAGCCUAACACU